AUGGAGGGAAUGAGGCCAUGGGGGAGAGAGUUGGAUAUUGGACGAGUUACCAUGGCAACGCAGGGGUGGAUUUGUUCUCACGAAACCUGUGGGGUAGAACAUUCUUCGAUGGGGUGGGCACGUGGGGCUCCUGCCCACUCUUUGUCUUGUGGGAAACGGCUUGUAGUGCCAUUUGGCUUGUGGACAUUUUUUAAAAGAAGAAGCUCAGAUUACAUCAAGACAGAUGGAGACAGAGAUGGUUUACCUGCCAAGACAUCUGGUAGCACCCUCUCAGUAGCGGCAACAAAACCGCAGAACACCAUGGGAAGAUUUACAGGCUGAUGCAUUUUUACAUAAUCAUAAAACUGUACAGCUGGAAGGAACCUCAAGGAUCAUCACGUCCAGUUCCCUACCAAAGCAGGGAAUCCACAGAAAAAGCAUCCCUGACCAAUGGCCAUCUAGCCUCCAAUGAAGUACAGCCCAACCACACACUGAAGCAAUUCAUUCAAUUGUUGAACAGUUCUUCAUUAUAAAGAAGUUAUUUUUAAUGUUUGGUGAAAUCCCGUUUCUCGUAAUUUGAAUUCAUUACUUUGAGCCUACCCCUGGAACUACAGAAAAUAAAACUUGCUCCAUCUUCUAAAUGGCUUGGGCC
rnacentral:lncRNA from 1 species